GAAUAUGGGGGGACCAUCCUCCAAGGCUAAAUACUCCUGACUGACCGAUAGUGAACCAGUACCGUGAGGGAAAGGCGAAAAGAACCCCGGCGAGGGGAGUGAAAAAGAACCUGAAACCGUGUACGUACAAGCAGUGGGAGCCCCACCACUAAGCCAGUGGUGAACUCCACAUACGCAUCCUUUGCUGAGGAUACGGUUAACGGAGCGAAAGCGACGUUCAACCUCAAAAGAAGCAGAGGGGGCUUAGUGGUGGGGUGACUGCGUACCUUUUGUAUAAUGGGUCAGCGACUUAUAUUCUGUAGCAAGGUUAACCGMAUAGGGGAGCCGGAGGGAAACCGAGUCUUAAUUGGGCGUUAAGUUGCAGGGUAUAGACCCGAAACCCGGUGAUCUAGCCAUGGGCAGGUUGAAGGUUGGGUAACACUAACUGGAGGACCGAACCGACUAAUGUUGAAAAAUUAGCGGAUGACCUGUGGCUGGGGGUGAAAGGCCAAUCAAA
rnacentral:rRNA from 1 species